rnacentral:sRNA from 20 species
AAGUUAAUAUUUUAGGGGAGGCUCCUAUAUCAGAUAAAUGCUACUGCUCAGAAACAUCGAAAGAUGCCAAUGAGUCAACAGGUAUUGCCGAGUUAAGGCUUUACUUAACGUAGCUGAGUUAAGCUCAAAGCUAUAUAGUGCUAAAACCAUAUUACAAGAUUUUAUUAUGUU